UCCCUGGUGGCUCAGAUGGUAAAGUGUCUGCCUAUAAUGCGGGAGACCUGGGUUCGAACCCUGGGUUGGGAA
rnacentral:tRNA from 1 species